rfam:Salmo salar isolate Sally breed double haploid chromosome ssa10, whole genome shotgun sequence.
UGCAUUCACUACUGUAAGUCGCUCUGGAUAAGAGCGUCUGCUAAGAUGUAAAUAU